rnacentral:lncRNA from 1 species
CAGGAGGAACCCCUGAUGCUUAAUUAGGUGAAAGACACUGGAAUCCUAUUGCGACCAGGGUCCUCCCUAGUCAGCAGAGGAAAGUCUGAUCAUGUGGUUUGUCCUUCCCGAACAAAUUUCUUUGUAGCCCAUGAUUUACACCACCUCCAUACAGUAAUCUCUGCCUUGUUUAUUUGCAGAGAGCUGGUGGAGAUGGAGCUGCAAUGCGUGUCCAUGGAGCAGAUUAAACACUAUCUGCCCCAACCUGCCUGAGACUGUCCUCUCCCUGGUUGGCAGUACUUGAAUGGGGGAAAAAAAUAAAAAGCAAUCCUCCUGAGCUCCCAGCAAGCAGAAGUCCCAAGAGUCAUGACCAGGAUCUCGUCGCAAAGUGGAAUUCCUCUCUAAAAAGAAAUGUAUGGCUGACCGGACUUCAUCAAUUUAGAUAUGUCUGCCCCUGGUCUGAAAUGGAAGCAGGAACACUUAUUUGUGGCACCCAGCUGACAAAAGAUAACCGGGUGACCAAGCAGAUGAAGAGCUGAACAAAGCCAACA